AUGGGGGUGUUGCACCCGGAGCUGGUCAUGAAGUCCAUCGUGCCCGUUGUCAUGGCGGGGGCGCUCAAGAUCUACGCCCUCAUCACCGCAGUCAUCAUCUCCACUGGGAUCAACCCCAGGGUCAAGCCCUACUUCCUCUUCUAUGGUUACACGCACCUCUCCUGCGGCCUUGCUGGCGGCAUGGCCAUCGGCAUCGUCGGUGACGCUAGUGGCAAGGCACAUGUCUUCUCGGGGCUAUCGUCGCCAUUGCUUCCCCUGCAUAUGCCUGCAUCAAAGCAAUCCAAGCCACCCUUUCCCAGCAAGUUUGGUGCUUUCGAAGCUGCCAACAAUUAUUGUGAUUGA
rnacentral:rRNA from 1 species